UACGUAGGGGGCAAGCGUUGUCCGGAAUUAUUGGGCGUAAAGCGCGCGCAGGCGGUUCUUUUAAGUCUGGUGUCUAAGUGCGGGGCUCAACCCCGUGAUGCACUGGAAACUGGGGAACUUGAGUGCAGAAGAGGAGAGCGGAAUUCCACGUGUAGCGGUGAAAUGCGUAGAGAUGUGGAGGAACACCAGUGGCGAAGGCGGCUCUCUGGGCCGAUACUGACGCUGAGGAGCGAAAGCGUGGGGAGCGAACAGG
rnacentral:rRNA from 1 species